rnacentral:lncRNA from 1 species
GUGGAAGGUAGAAUAGAAAUUGCAACAAUAAAAUCUUAAAUCUAAUAAAAUACUAACUAAACUCUAAUUAGACCAUAAUAAUAUUAAGCAAGCUUUAAUCAAAUUCAAAGAAACCUCAAAAAAAUUUCAAAGAAACAAUAAGAAAUCUUAAAGAAAUAUUAAAAUGAUCACAAAUAUAUCUCAAAUACAUCUCAAUUCAAUCUUAAUUUAAUCCUAAUUAAAAUCCAAUUGGACUUCAUUCAAACUUUAGGCCAAAACUAAUUAAAUCUUAAAUCUUAAAAAAAUCCUAAUAAAAUCCUAAAUUCUAAAUCAAAUCCUAACUAAACUUUAAACCUUAAACCAAUUCCUAAAUCAUAAACUAAACCCUAAACAUUAAACCAAACUCUAAAUCCUAAAUCAAAUCCUAACCAAACCCUAAAUCAAAUCCUAGUCAAAUCCUAAAAAAACCCUAACCAAAUUCUAAAUCCAAAACCAAACCCUAAACAAAUCCUAAAUCCUAAACCAAAUCCUAAACAAACC